GGAACUUCAUUUUUGUGGACUGACUGCACGUCUACACGGUUCAACAUUCUAGCCAUACCUCUUCAUCUUGGAAUCCUGGUUCUUCCAGCACAACUUGAUCCUCCUUCAUAUUGAAAGGCAUGGUAGAGAACAGACACCUGGAAUAUUUGCUCAACCUCUCCAAGCCCCAGUGUCCUCCCAGGAGAAAUGGAGAUGAAACCCAACAACAUGGGCAGGCUUCAGCCAAAAGUUCUCCCAAUUCUUGGAUAAGGAUUCAUCCAGGUGUGUUACAAGGU